rnacentral:rRNA from 1 species
GGUUCCGUAGGUGACCUGCGGAAGGAUCAUUA